UAUAAUAGACAAUACAAAUAUAAGGAUUGAUAAAAUCGUAAACUACAGAAAGUGUCGCUACUAGUAAUUUCUGCUACAUAAUUAAUAAGGUGUUGAUGCGUCCACGUAUAAGCUCUAGGUGCUUCCAACAUGCAUGAUCCAACGGCUACGAACCAACUCCUUUGUACCAGAGACUUCAGAACAACAUCACUUCACUUCGUCUUCCUCCUUCUCGACUUUACUCCAAAAACUCUGCCUUUUCUUCCUUUUGUUCGCCAACUGUAACAAUUCCCCAUCAUUAGAACACCUUGCCUACAAGGUGGGGAUACUGAUUUUUCAACUCCACAUAUGAUUCCCAAGUGGCAUCUUCCGGUCCCUGCCAUGCCAUCGUAUCAGCACCUCCAUGCAUGGCUUGUUGUUCUUCUUCAACAUAUGACGGGCUAUGGCUUUCUCGAGCUCGGGUUUCAAGGUUCUUGCGGCGUCAAUGGUUGGUAGGAUUGCUAAAGGUGUGACCUUCGCCCCGACUUUUCUCUUCAGCUGGGACACAUGGAAAGUGGCGUGGAUCUUGGCAGAUGGGGGUAGAUCCAUACAGUAGGCCACAGAAUCGACCCUCUCUAGCACUCGAAAUGGGCUGCAGUACCUUGAAGCUAGCUUGAGGCCCCUCCUCUACAACACCGAAGUUUGUCUAUAAGGCUGUAAACGAAGAUAGACCCACUCCCCCACGGUAAACUCCCUCUUUGAUAUCUUCAAGUCUGCAUAUUUCUUCAUUCAUUCUUGGGCCCGAUAUAGAUUUAAUUUGAGGGUCUUCAUCAUUUGUUCUCAAUUUUUCAACUCUUUAAUUUGCUGUACCCGGCAUGUAACUCCUGAGGCGAGGUGGGGCAUACCCGUAAAGGGCCUCAAAUGGUGACAACUUCGUGGAGGAGUGAACAUUGGUGUUGUACCGCCAUUCGGCCAAGGAAACCCAUUUGGACCAGUUUCUUGGCUGAUCUCCAGCAAAGAAGCGAAGGAUGCCGCCAAAACGACGAAAUGUGCCUCCACUAAGUCCAAGUCUCGAACCCAUUGAGGACUCAAGGAAUCCGCUCCUGAAGAUCAAGUUAACACGCAAGAGAACAACAACCAGUCGACACCUACCAUUGAUGCAUCUGCACAUUGCGGUCAUGGCUAUACAUGUGGCAUCUCUCUUGAGAAGAAUAGAAGGCACAGAAAACUCAACAUCAUCAUUCCUGAUAAUUUCACUGGAGGAGUGUAUGAUAGUGCAGAAUCGUUUUCCUCCUAUAUUGGUACAGUAAUUCGAGCUUA